rnacentral:rRNA from 1 species
AGAGUUUGAUCCUGGCUCAGGAUGAACGCUGGCGGCGUGCUUAACACAUGCAAGUCGAACGAAGCACUACCGACGGAACUUUUCGGAGGGAAGAUGGUAAUGACUGAGUGGCGGACGGGUGAGUAACGCGUGGGCAACCUGCCCCAUAGAGGGGGGACAACAGCUGGAAACGGCUGCUAAUACCGCAUAACAAGGAGAGAGCGCAUGUUCUUUUCUUCAAAGAUUUAUCGCUAUGGGAUGGACCCGCGUCUGAUUAGCUGGUUGGUGAGGUAACGGCUCACCAAGGCGACGAUCAGUAGCCGGCUUGAGAGAGUGGACGGCCACAUUGGGACUGAGACACGGCCCAGACUACUACGGGAGGCAGCAGUGGGGGAUAUUGCACAAUGGGGGAAACCCUGAUGCAGCGACGCCGCGUGAAGGAAGAAGUAUCUCGGUAUGUAAACUUCUAUCAGCAGGGAAGAAAACAGACGGUACCUGACUAAGAAGCCCCGGCUAACUACGUGCCAGCAGCCGCGGUAAUACGUAGGGGGCAAGCGUUAUCCGGAUUUACUGGGUGUAAAGGGGGCGCAGACGGCCAUGGCAAGCCCGGUGUGAAAGGCAGGGGCAUAACCCCUGGACUGCACUGGGAACUGUCAGGCUGGAGUGCCGGAGGGGUAAGCGGAAUUCCUGGUGUAGCGGUGAAAUGCGUAGAUAUCAGGAGGAACACCGGCGGCGAAGGCGGCUUACUGGACGGCAACUGACGUUGAGGCCCGAAAGCGUGGGGAGCGAACAGGAUUAGAUACCCUGGUAGUCCACGCCGUAAACGAUGUAUUACCAGGUGUCGGAUAUCAA